UCCAGACUCCUACGGGAGGCAGCAGUGGGGGAUAUUGCACAAUGGGGGAAACCCUGACCCAGCAACGCCGCGUGAAGGAAGAAGGCUUUCGGGUUGUAAACUUCUUUUGACAGGGAAGAGCAGAAGACGGUACCUGUCGAAUAAGCCACGGCUAACUACGUGCCAGCAGCCGCGGUAAUACGUAGGUGGCAAGCGUUGUCCGGAUUUACUGGGUGUAAAGGGCGUGUAGCCGGGCUGACAAGUCAGAUGUGAAAUCCGGGGGCUCAACCCCCGAACUGCAUUUGAAACUGUUGGUCUUGAGUAUCGGAGAGGCAGGCGGAAUUCCUAGUGUAGCGGUGAAAUGCGUAGAUAUUAGGAGGAACACCAGUGGCGAAGGCGACCUGCUGGACGACAACUGACGGUGAGGCGCGAAAGCGUGGGGAGCAACCAGGAUUAGAUACCCGCGUAGC
rnacentral:rRNA from 1 species